UGAAAGGAGACGAACCUCCGCGUGGAACCCAUCAAACCAGCAAAAGCAAAGAGGAGCCGUGUGAGAAAAACAGGGCAGCAUCGCGCACAAAGAGCCACGCUAUACACUCCAAAAAUCAUCCACCACUAGUGCAUGUGCCUCGACCAGACAGCAGAGGACUGAGAUCUGGUGCAAUUGCAGUGAUUGGACAUAUCUAAGAGGGAAGGUGGUUGAAGCCCUGCGAUGGAUUGGUGUCCUGUCCAUGGUGUUCCUGCCUCACG